UUAACUUAUUUGUUUUACUCGAGAUGCCAACGCAAAGAAACAGAAUUUGUAGGCUGCCGGCGGGCUUAGCGCCUCGGGAGACCCGGGGCACCCGCCGAAGCAACGCGCUUUAUAGUAAGUUCACAGGGUUAAGGAGUCUUGCGAGUCCUGUAAUGAUCCCUCCGCUGGUUCACCAACGGAGA
rnacentral:misc_RNA from 1 species